GUUAAGUCAGGAAUAGCUCUGGGAAGCUGCUGAGUGGAAAUGAAUGGAGUAGGAAUCUCCACAAGGUCUGUUCAGUGAGGAGGAACCAGCUGUCAGCGGGAACCUGCUCUGACUCCCAUUGAUCCCUGGAUCCAAAGAUGCCAUUGGAUAGCCUGCCUCCCUCUGCACCCUUUUUGUCAUUUCCCAUGAAGAUCUCCUCCUGGGCAUGUGCUGAUCCUUUUUUCAAUCACAACAAGUCCUCCCCAGUUUCACUGGUUCUUCACAUACAAACAUCAGGGAUGUGCAAAUGAUCUCAUACUCUGAUAUUUUUCCCUUAAUCUGCUCUUUUGCUUUUCUCAUGCAAGAAGUUCAACAUCUUUGGAGCCUGUUAUCCCAGAAUCUGUGCCUAGUGAAGAAUCAGUGACGAAAGCUUGAUGCCAUGGAUCUAUUUUUAUUAAAUACCUCCUCUAAAU